rnacentral:rRNA from 1 species
CGCCGGUGACAAACCGGAGGAAGGUGGGGAUGACGUCAAGUCCUCAUGGCCCUUAUGGGUAGGGCUUCACACGUCAUACAAUGGUCGGUACGGAGGGUUGCCAAGCCGCGAGGUGGAGCCAAUCCCUUAAAGCCGAUCGUAGUCCGGAUCGUAGUCUGCAACUCGACUACGUGAAGUCGGAAUCGCUAGUAAUCGCAGAUCAGCAUGCUGCGGUGAAUACGUUCCCGGGUCUU